CUGCGGGGCCCGGCUUCUCCCCGGGGAGGUGGCGCCUCAAGGUCGACCUCUGCUGUGAUGCAGACAGGAUCCUGCUGCAGUCCCCUCAGUCCACUUAGUAAAUUGCUGUGUGGGCCAAGAUGUGGACUCCGCCGGCCCCGACCCUCCGCUGUUCCCGGUCCCGGAUUAGCUAAUGAAUACCCGCGUAGCCACAGACCCCGAGCCCGCAGACUGCGCUCAGAUGCCAGCACUGAGGGUUAUUUUAUUUUAGGUACCGCGGGCUGUGUGUGGCAGGGACAAUUACACAAGCUAAAGUCAUCGAUUUCCACUGAAAAUCCUGCUGUCUCCUCCAGCUGAAUUAUGGUGGCAGCUUUUUUUUUUUUUUUUUUUAAACAGCCCAUCUUCAAACAGUGAGGAGGUGGAAGCUGAGGUUCCUUUCUCCACGCACCUUCCAGCGACUUCUGCUCAAGAACUGACCUCUAUGUCUGCCUCCCAACGCUGGCAUCGCACCUUGCUCUGCGAGAGACCCUUGUAUUCCAUGUGGCGUGAACAUUUCUGAGCUUUUCAUCAGAAGAGGAAGGGUCGGGUUUUCAAGUAGACGCGUGUAAAGACUUCGGGACAGAGGCACCUGCGGCUUGAACGAGUGGCCCCGUUAGCUCCUGGGGAAACAAUACCAGAUCAAGAGCAUCCUUCCUCCGUGUCUACCCCAGAAGCUGCCUGACUUCUAGAUGAUGCCAGCACCUGCAGUCCUGACGCAUCUCUGCCUUCUGAAACUGCACGUUCUGCCUGCCAGCAAUUCACAGACACACGAACACUCCCAUGUCUUAUUUAAAUUGUAAACCUUUCUCGAUCCAGCCUCUCUGCGGAUUAUAGCCUCUCCCUCCCUCUGCAGUGAACUUCCGGAAAGUUUCAAAGUGCAGUCUGCAUUCUUUAUCAACUUCCUCCUCCUUCAUCUCCUUCACCCUCACACCCUGCAAAACUCCACUCAGAGCCAGCACACUGCACAGAUGUCUCUCAGUCCCCCCUCUUCCCCUGGCCUUGACAGCUUUGCACACUGGGGACUGCAUGCUCUGUCCUUGACUUGGGGUUUCCUGGCAGCACCUGGAGGGGCCUGGCUGCAACUCUUCUCUGCUAAGGUUCCCAUGAAUCCCUGGAGUCUUUCAUGGUGUGAACGGCUACUUUUUUUGGGUCGUGUUUAUUGAAAAGUUUCAGAAACUUCUGCAUCCUUAGUUCCCCAAGUUAGGGUUUUUAACUAUUACUUCUCUCUGGAGGGAAUCAGGGCUGGUUGGAGAAGGCUGAUUUCGUAAACAGAAUGGGGUAACCUCUAACACAGCCUUGCACUGGAAAGCAGGGAUGCACUAGGAGCCUUCUGAGGUCUUGGGACAAGCUGGGGCAAAACUGGCACAGCUUAAUGUCACAAACAGCCGUAACUGCAGUGGCUCCAAAACAUUUCAAUUACGUUGAAGUCUAUUUGUUCAUAAUGUUAUUUUCUAAAAUACAUUGAUUACCUUUGAAGAGUGCUAAGGAACCCAACUCAUUAUUUUUAAAAGCUGGCAAAGAAAAGAAACGAAGUGACCAUUUAUUAUCUUGACUUUCUUGUACAAACUAUCCCCAGACUAUAACCAAAUAAUUGAUGAUGGCAAGUUUCUCUCCAUAGAUGCAAGCCAGCUAAUAAGUGAGGCAGGGAUGUUAGAAUUAGAAUAGCACAGUUUUGCAGGCCCUUAUGAUUUAGUGAAUCUUGGCAUUGAAUGUAUAUGGCAGAGGGACAGAGGGAGAGAGAGAGCAAACCCAUCCCAGAUGGAAGCCCACCACGCUGCCUGUAGCCUGUCCUUCCUCAGAUAAUCAAACCUGACUCUGGCCAAGCCUGUACAGCAUAGGAUUCUCCAGGGGCCCAAAUCUGGCCCACAUUUGUAGAAAUAAAAGUUCUAUGGAAGAUAGCCACAUGCAUUUGUUCAGGGAGCUGUGACAGGCAGUGUCAGCCACAGAGCUUCGUGUAUUUACCAUCACUUACGAGACAAUUAGAGGGAUAUAAAC
ensembl:lncRNA